GGGCGCGCAUACGCAGUGCGCCGGCCGUUACCUGUCAGCGGAGGCGGCGGGCGGAGGCGGCGGCGGGAUGGAGGGGCUCAUCCCGCUCGUCAACCGGCUGCAGGACGCCUUCGCGGCGCUGGGCCAGAACUGCCUGCUCGACCUGCCGCAAAUCGCGGUGGUGGGAGGGCAGAGCGCCGGCAAGAGCUCCGUGCUGGAGAACUGCGUCUCCAGGGAUUUUCUUCCACGAGGUUCUGGGAUUGUAACAAGACGACCAUUGGUGUUGCAGCUUGUCACUGCCAAAACAGAGUAUGCCGAAUUUCUACACUGCAAAGGAAGAAAGUUUACAGAUUUUGAUGAAGUUCGUCAGGAAAUUGAAGUGGAAACAGAUAGAAUAACAGGAGUGAACAAAGGGAUUUCUUCAAUUCCUAUUAAUUUAAGAAUAUAUUCUCCACAUGUACUAAGCCUGACUCUUAUUGACUUGCCGGGAAUCACUAAAGUGCCAGUAGGAGAUCAGCCUCCAGAUAUCGAGCAGCAGAUAAGAGACAUGAUAAUGCAGUUCAUCUCUCGAGAGAACUGUUUGAUAUUGGCCGUGACUCCAGCUAACACAGAUCUGGCCAACUCAGAUGCUCUGAAGUUAGCUAAAGAAGUAGACCCUCAAGGCCUUAGAACCAUUGGUGUGAUCACAAAAUUGGAUCUGAUGGAUGAAGGAACAGAUGCAAGAGACGUUCUAGAAAAUAAACUACUUCCUCUUCGUAGAGGUUAUAUUGGUGUUGUGAACAGAAGCCAAAAGGACAUUGAUGGGAAGAAGGACAUAAAGGCAGCUCUUCUAGCAGAAAGGAAAUUCUUUCUUUCCCACCCAGCAUACAGGCACAUGGCAGAUCGGAUGGGAACGCCGUAUCUUCAGAAAGUUCUAAACCAGCAACUUACCAAUCAUAUUCGGGAUACCCUGCCAGCCUUCAGGAGCAAACUUCAGAGCCAGCUGCUUUCUAUAGAACAUGAAGUAGAGGUAUACAAAAACUUCAGACCAGAAGAUCCAACCAGAAAAACAAAAGCCUUGUUGCAGAUGGUACAGCAGUUUUCAGUGGACUUUGAAAAAAGAAUCGAAGGAUCAGGAGAUCAGGUCGAUACACUAGAACUUUCAGGUGGUGCCAAAAUCAAUCGUAUUUUCCAUGAACGUUUCCCUUUCGAACUAGUGAAGAUGGAGUUCAAUGAGAAAGAGCUGCGGAGAGAAAUAAGUUAUGCAAUCAAGAACAUACAUGGUAUCAGAACAGGUUUAUUUACUCCAGAUAUGGCGUUUGAAGCUAUUGUUAAAAAGCAGAUAGUGAAGCUGAAAGGACCUUGCUUAAAAAGUGUGGAUCUAGUGAUGCAGGAGUUAAUCAACACUGUCAAGAAGUGCACUAAAAAGUUGGCAACCUAUCCAAGAUUAUGUGAGGAAACAGAAAGAAUUGUUGCUGGCUACAUUCGUGAAAGAGAAGAGAAGACCAAGGAUCAGGUGCUGCUGCUGAUUGAUAUCCAGGUUUCUUACAUCAACACCAACCAUGAAGACUUCAUUGGCUUUGCAAAUGCCCAACAAAGAAGCAGUCAGGUUAACAAAAGUGCAGUGGGAAAUCAGGGAACCAAUCUACCGCCUUCAAGGCAAAUUGUCAUCCGGAAGGGCUGGCUGACCAUCAACAAUAUUGGCAUCAUGAAAGGAGGCUCCAAGGAAUACUGGUUCGUUCUAACUGCAGAAAGCCUGUCUUGGUAUAAAGAUGAUGAGGAAAAAGAGAAGAAGUACAUGCUUCCUCUGGACAACUUGAAAGUGCGUGAUGUUGAAAAGAGCUUCAUGUCUAGCAAACAUAUCUUUGCAUUGUUUAACACAGAGCAGAGGAAUGUUUACAAGGAUUACCGUUUCCUUGAACUAGCCUGUGACUCCCAAGAAGAGGUGGAUAGCUGGAAGGCAUCUCUGCUACGAGCCGGUGUCUAUCCUGAUAAAUCCUCAACUGAAAAUGAUGAGAAUGGCCAAGCGGACAAUUUUUCAAUGGACCCCCAAUUGGAGAGACAGGUGGAGACGAUUCGAAAUCUGGUGGAUUCCUACAUGUCUAUUAUCAACAAAUGUAUCCGAGAUUUGAUACCGAAAACAAUCAUGCACCUUAUGAUCAAUAAUGUGAAAGAAUUUAUCAACGCUGAGCUCCUGGCUCACUUGUAUUCUUCUGAGGACCAAAAUACUCUAAUGGAGGAAUCAGCUGAGCAGGCACAGAGGCGAGAUGAAAUGCUCCGCAUGUACCAAGCUCUAAAGGAAGCCCUAGCAAUCAUUGGCGAUAUCAGCACUAGCACUGUGUCAACCCCUGCACCACCUCCUGUAGAUGAUUCUUGGCUUCAGCAGGCCCGCAGAUCACCUCCUCCAAGUCCCUCAACUCAGAGGAGGCCUACAUUAAAUAAUCCCCCAACCAGACCUUUAUCUGGCCGAGGACCUGCUCCUGCAAUCCCAUCUCCAGGCCCUCAGUCAGGGGCUCCCCCGGUCCCGUUCCGCCCAGGACCGUUGCCACCAUUUUCAAGUGGUGGUGAAGCCCAUGGAGGACCUCCCCAAGUUCCAUCCCGGCCGACGCGGGCUCCUCCCAGUGUCCCAAGGCAUUUUGAAACUUUCCUGUGCCCACAAGCUGUAUUGGAUCAUUACUGAAAAACAGGGCACUCAAUGGCUGCAUUAACAAGAUUGAUAUGGAUAAUGUUAGUUGUUGUCAUUGUGGACAAGAAGAGGUGCUAGUCCAGCUAGAGGUAAUAGCCACAAUGCCUGUUCCCUUUCUUGCCUUAAGGUAAGUAUAGAAGAGACAGACAAACGGGGAAAGGAGGAUGGAGUGUGAGUAGGAAGAAAGAACAGAGUGAGCAGAAGUAGCUGCGGCCUUCAAAGACUUCAUACAUGAUUUACAUUGACAUGGGACAGUACAGCUGAACACAGACCAGUACACAAGAUUGGAGCUACUACAUAAAGAUCAUAUGUUCCUCCUCCAGAUUUUGUGACCCUUCUGUUGUCAUCAUCUGCUGCAGACGGACAAAGGAAGAGCAGCAGUCAGAAUGUAUCACUAAGAAUUCCUAAAUAUCUCUUCUUCCUCAUGGAUUUUUGAUCCUUUUCUGACCUUGGAUUUCCAAAGGGUUGGGACAGACCUCCUCUGAUGUUUAGCAAGCUUGCAAACUUGUCAUGUUCCCUGCUGAAGGGCAAAUAAGAACACACUGUUUAGAAUAAUAGUCUUUUUUGGUUGCUCCAUUGAAUUAUUAUUUUUUUGUGUGUGUGUUUUCAAGCUGUUUUUUUCCAUAUGACACGUUAAUUCCCUAAAAUGACUAAUUUCAAAAUGCAGCAUCCUCUUAAACAUACAGACAAGUUUGUGUCUGUAAUAGAUGUUAAUUUGUGAUGGUCAUACAGAAAACCCAGUUUGAUUUGCAAAGAAAUUAACCUAGUGGAGCAUCAUAUUUUGACCUCUUUGCCUCUGAAAGGAAUAUCCACAUUAUGUAAAAUCACAUGCUUUGGAACCACAGUAAUCUUAAUGCUUUGAAACAGUGCUAGCAUUUGCAUUAAAGGAGAUUUAGAUUGCUGCUUUAUGCUGUCUGGUGGAAGGACACAUCCUUCCCAUGUGCUGUUUUUUUAUUCUUUCACUGAAGAGAAAUAGGCAUCAGAUAAAAACACUUGAUCUAACUACUUUAACUUGAUCAUACUAAACACAAAAACUCCACUGACAGAAUAUUGUUUGGGUCAUCUGAAAUAGUGAAAUAGUGCAAGUAUUGGCAAUACAGCAUGCUCUCUAUGUUCGUGGAGCCUGAUACAUACAUGUUCUAUUGGAGGGCUUCAGAACCUGGCAGCCGCAUGCUAUGCAUCUCAGUUCUUCCAUUCCUGACUUGCCCUCCAAGAAGAAUCCUGUUGGCAUGCUGACUAGCAAUGCUUCAUGUUCGAUAUGGAAAACAACAGUUUUCAGUAGAGAAACAGAUGAGAGAAACUUUCAGUCUCUUGGACCAUAAUGUUGAGUCGAAGACCACCCCCCUCACCUACUCGGCCCACUGUAAUUCGUCCAUUAGAUUCAUCCCUGUUAGACUAAAUGAAGUUUCUGGCAUGCCACUCAUUGUUAACCAAAUAUGUGGAAGCAAACUGCUUGAUAACUGUUGCAAUAACCAAUGUAUAGUCGCAUGUAUGGACGUCCAUAGGCAAGUAACCAAUUUUACUGAUAUAUCUCUGUCCAUUCCGCAUUGUUUAUGAGCUCUCAAAUGUUUUGGGAAGGUCUGUGCUGUCUUGACUUUUCCUUCUGCAGUAGCUGAUGUUAGCUAAUGUACUGACACACGUGUUCACCCAGGCACCCGUGCUCACAAUCCUAUACAGUCAAAGGAGGACUUGAGUCUGUGUUUGUGCACGUGUUGAUUUUAGCUGCUUCUUUUUCUCUUACCUGCCGAAAUCUUGCUUUUAUUUGUACCUUUCAUGUUUUCUGUCAUGUGGUGUUUUACAGUUGUGCCCACUUUCUAUGUUAAUGGCUAAACUGGGCAGAGAAAAGCGUGGUUUCUUAUCAAGCUCUUCUGAAGGCCUCACGCUUUCAUCUCUCUUGCAAGAAGCUUGCUGGAACGCUGCUUCUCCUAACAUUUUUUCUGAUCUGCAGCUAAGUUUAUAAGGAAUAUUGCUAAACUAGAAGGAUGUGUGUGAGACAGUGUGUGCUUCACUUUCCUUCCCCUCUGCUGAUUGAUAGCAGAGCUGGUUGGGUGGCAGGUAAGGAGCAGGCUGCAGCACCCCGGCUUGUAACGUGUGGAGCUGGCUCACCCUGCAUCAAAGAUGUGAGAAGGGCAUUUUGAAGAGCCAGUGUGUGACAGAGCAGGCUGUGCCAGCUUGCUUUGUCCUCUGGUAGCGCUCACUCACAUCGGUCCUCCCACUGAACUCAUGUGAAGCCUUGUGUGUAAGUGAGAGCAUGUAAUAUGUAUAUAUAUGCUGCGUGGAAGGGUCCAGAGAACUGAGAGAUGUAUAUAUGUAUAAAUAUAUGCACAGCUGUAAAUGGGCCCACUGUGGGAGCCAGUUCAGAGCUAUGGCCUAGAUCUGCAUCUGGGCUUUCCAAGGGAUCCCAUUUGGGUUUGAGAUAUUUGCUCACACCAGUCGAUAAAGUUCCACAACGUCCACAAAGUAUUUUCCCUUUGUGUCUCUUGACAUUCUACUCACUUCAGAUUAGGAGUCAUUGUAUCCAAAAAGGUGCUGAGAAAUGCUCAGCUGUGCAUCCUGGCCGUGCAUUUUUUUUAGCAGAUGUUCACUUUCAGAAGUUCUCUGCCUGUUUUACACUGUGUAUUAAUGUAAUAUAAAAACCUUUUGUCUUAACUGCAUUCCUUAACUUUAAACACUUAAGCUCAGCAACACCCCUGUAAUUUAAAACUUCUUGAGUUGACAGGAUUAAAACAGAGAUGAAUUUGGCCUUGUGUAGUCAGAAAAUAUUAAUUGCUGUUAUUGCAAUUAUGGUUACAGAUCCCUAGGCAAAGCGAUUGGUGGUUUCAAAGUCCCCCACUAUAAUCAGUCUAAUAAAUUCACUUAUUGAAGCUGUAUGUAGGGCUCCAGUAUGCUGCAGCCCCGUGGUUAGGAAGAAUCCAAUCAAGGAGCCACAACCAGUGGGGAUUUUGCCCAUUAAAUAUUCCCAGGCCGCUGAUUGAAUAACAGUUAUGUUCACUACCAAAGCAAAUCGUGUUUCUGCUUGUAGAAGAGAAACGAGUUUGGGAAAGCAUCGUGAUUUGUAUGCUAGCCUGACUUUAAUUUCCUGUCAACCACACACUUGUGACACACACCUGGGGAGCUGAGGUCAACAUCUGAAGCACGGGGAAACUUGUCAGAGCACCGGCAUCUCGGUGAGCUCAGAAGAUUGCUUAAAUGGCUGCUGUUUGUUUGGGGAGUAGGCUUAGAUCCUCCACGCGGAGCACACAGAAUCAGCUUUCAAGGAUGAAAAGGUUGUAAAGUCAACCACAUUGUUCCACCUCAGCCACAGAAAGUCGCCUUAAUCCCAAAUGUUGGUAUUCGUUCAGUGCUACGGCGAGCCCAUGGGCUGUGUUUAUCCCACUUUAUCCUAAGCACUUGGCUGAGUUGUCCAAGGUCUCCCAUUUGUUCUGUGGAAAGAGAAGGGAUGACUCAGACUGGUGUAAUUGCUUGGGAGAUGAGGGUGGCAAUGCUGGUAAGUUAGGAGCCUCAAUUAAAUGACGUAGGUUUUGACUUAAAAAGGUGUGCUUAAAUCUUCUGUACUUGAGACUCCGUAAUUUACUUUGAUGACCCUUUCUGUCAAGAGUAAGGAAAUAGCACAGCUCAGUGCAGUGGCCCCAGUGUCAGCAGCAGUGCAUUCUGCACUCAGUUUUGAGCUCAUGGGACGCAGAGUGCAGCUGCGCAGCCUUCCCAUCCUCUACAUCUCCAUCACAGCUAAAUAAGAACCUGCUCCUGAAAUACAGAGCUUUGAGACGUGUAAGCUAAUAACUGGUGUUGAGCACAGAUCCAUAGACUGAUGAAUUCACCUCGAAUGUAUUGCAUAUACACUUUUUAGAAUAAACUAUAAAGAAUUGUUCCUAGGAAACAUGCUGAUUGCUUCCCAAGAAAUUGCCACUUGCAAUUGACUACAUACUCUCCUCCCUAGCUUUGACCCAUUUUCCUCGUGCUGUACAGUGCCUGGAAUGUGUUUGUUUGUCCUGCUGGCUCCUGAUUCUGGUAAGCUGUGUCUCUCCCAUCCCUUGUUCUCAGAGGAGCAAGUUGGC